UGUAGAUUAUUUCUACGGAAAGCGCGCGGUCUUUUAAUUGGAAUUUUGUGAAAAAUGAAGUUGUGUAAAAUUUCUUUAAACUCUCAGCCAAAAUGCAAUUUUUUUAAUAGACCAUGUUCUUUUUAUUUCUAAGCUGUUUAUUAAUUCUUUGUAUUUCAUAUAUUUUUGUUGCAUAUUUUAAAGUGUACGAUUACAUAAAAAAGAAGAGUAUCGUUGUUUUUGUGACAGCACAUCCUGACGAUGAAUGUAUGUUUUUUGCCCCAACUAUAUUAAACCUUUUGAGACAAGAUUGUGAUGUUUAUUUACUGUGCCUUUCUUCAGGUGGAUUUUAUAACCAAAGUGCAGAGAGGAAAAGGGAACUACGAGCAAGUUGCAAAAUACUUGGCAUUCCUGCUGGGAAUCUUGUUAUAAUUGAAGAUAGCAAACUUCCUGAUGAUCCCAAAAAAUUUUGGGAUAAGAAAAGAGUUGCUGUUAUAAUACUCAAAUAUGUGCAACAGUUAUCAGCAAAUGUAGUAAUAUCAUUUGACGAAGGUGGUGUUAGUGGUCAUUUAAACCAUAUUGCAAUACAUCAUGGAUUGAAGUUGUGAAGUUCUUCAACUAAAAUCUGUUUCUUUGAUACAAAAAUAUAUUGGCUUGUUUGGAGUGCCUUUGUGUUGUCUUCGUGAGAAUAUAUACUAUGUAUCAAAGUAUAAUGACAUUAGAACUGCACAGAAAUCCAUGAAAGCUCAU
rnacentral:misc_RNA from 1 species